UUAAGCGACUAAGCGUACACGGUGGAUGCCCUGGCAGUCAGAGGCGAUGAAGGACGUGCUAAUCUGCGAUAAGCGUCGGUAAGGUGAUAUGAACCGUUAUAACCGGCGAUUUCCGAAUGGGGAAACCCAGUGUGAUUCGUCACACUAUCAUUAACUGAAUCCAUAGGUUAAUGAGGCGAACCGGGGGAACUGAAACAUCUAAGUACCCCGAGGAAAAGAAAUCAACCGAGAUUCCCCCAGUAGCGGCGAGCGAACGGGGAGCAGCCCAGAGCCUGAAUCAGUGUGUGUGUUAGUGGAAGCGUCUGGAAAGGCGUGCGAUACAGGGUGACAGCCCCGUACACAAAAAUGCACAUACUGUGAGCUCGAUGAGUAGGGCGGGACACGUGGUAUCCUGUCUGAAUAUGGGGGGACCAUCCUCCAAGGCUAAAUACUCCUGACUGACCGAUAGUGAACCAGUACCGUGAGGGAAAGGCGAAAAGAACCCCGGCGAGGGGAGUGAAAAAGAACCUGAAACCGUGUACGUACAAGCAGUGGGAGCACGCUUAGGCGUGUGACUGCGUACCUUUUGUAUAAUGGGUCAGCGACUUAUAUUCUGUAGCAAGGUUAACCGAAUAGGGGAGCCGAAGGGAAACCGAGUCUUAACUGGGCGUUAAGUUGCAGGGUAUAGACCCGAAACCCGGUGAUCUAGCCAUGGGCAGGUUGAAGGUUGGGUAACACUAACUGGAGGACCGAACCGACUAAUGUUGAAAAAUUAGCGGAUGACUUGUGGCUGGGGGUGAAAGGCCAAUCAAACCGGGAGAUAGCUGGUUCUCCCCGAAAGCUAUUUAGGUAGCGCCUCGUGAAUUCAUCUCCGGGGGUAGAGCACUGUUUCGGCAAGGGGGUCAUCCCGACUUACCAACCCGAUGCAAACUGCGAAUACCGGAGAAUGUUAUCACGGGAGACACACGGCGGGUGCUAACGUCCGUCGUGAAGAGGGAAACAACCCAGACCGCCAGCUAAGGUCCCAAAGUCAUGGUUAAGUGGGAAACGAUGUGGGAAGGCCCAGACAGCCAGGAUGUUGGCUUAGAAGCAGCCAUCAUUUAAAGAAAGCGUAAUAGCUCACUGGUCGAGUCGGCCUGCGCGGAAGAUGUAACGGGGCUAAACCAUGCACCGAAGCUGCGGCAGCGACGCUUAUGCGUUGUUGGGUAGGGGAGCGUUCUGUAAGCCUGUGAAGGUGUGCUGUGAGGUAUGCUGGAGGUAUCAGAAGUGCGAAUGCUGACAUAAGUAACGAUAAAGCGGGUGAAAAGCCCGCUCGCCGGAAGACCAAGGGUUCCUGUCCAACGUUAAUCGGGGCAGGGUGAGUCGACCCCUAAGGCGAGGCCGAAAGGCGUAGUCGAUGGGAAACAGGUUAAUAUUCCUGUACUUGGUGUUACUGCGAAGGGGGGACGGAGAAGGCUAUGUUGGCCGGGCGACGGUUGUCCCGGUUUAAGCGUGUAGGCUGGUUUUCCAGGCAAAUCCGGAAAAUCAAGGCCGAGGCGUGAUGACGAGGCACUACGGUGCUGAAGCAACAAAUGCCCUGCUUCCAGGAAAAGCCUCUAAGCAUCAGGUAACAUCAAAUCGUACCCCAAACCGACACAGGUGGUCAGGUAGAGAAUACCAAGGCGCUUGAGAGAACUCGGGUGAAGGAACUAGGCAAAAUGGUGCCGUAACUUCGGGAGAAGGCACGCUGAUACGUAGGUGAAGCGACUUGCUCGUGGAGCUGAAAUCAGUCGAAGAUACCAGCUGGCUGCAACUGUUUAUUAAAAACACAGCACUGUGCAAACACGAAAGUGGACGUAUACGGUGUGACGCCUGCCCGGUGCCGGAAGGUUAAUUGAUGGGGUUAGCGCAAGCGAAGCUCUUGAUCGAAGCCCCGGUAAACGGCGGCCGUAACUAUAACGGUCCUAAGGUAGCGAAAUUCCUUGUCGGGUAAGUUCCGACCUGCACGAAUGGCGUAAUGAUGGCCAGGCUGUCUCCACCCGAGACUCAGUGAAAUUGAACUCGCUGUGAAGAUGCAGUGUACCCGCGGCAAGACGGAAAGACCCCGUGAACCUUUACUAUAGCUUGACACUGAACAUUGAGCCUUGAUGUGUAGGAUAGGUGGGAGGCUUUGAAGUGUGGACGCCAGUCUGCAUGGAGCCGACCUUGAAAUACCACCCUUUAAUGUUUGAUGUUCUAACGUGGACCCGUGAUCCGGGUUGCGGACAGUGUCUGGUGGGUAGUUUGACUGGGGCGGUCUCCUCCUAAAGAGUAACGGAGGAGCACGAAGGUUGGCUAAUCCUGGUCGGACAUCAGGAGGUUAGUGCAAUGGCAUAAGCCAGCUUGACUGCGAGCGUGACGGCGCGAGCAGGUGCGAAAGCAGGUCAUAGUGAUCCGGUGGUUCUGAAUGGAAGGGCCAUCGCUCAACGGAUAAAAGGUACUCCGGGGAUAACAGGCUGAUACCGCCCAAGAGUUCAUAUCGACGGCGGUGUUUGGCACCUCGAUGUCGGCUCAUCACAUCCUGGGGCUGAAGUAGGUCCCAAGGGUAUGGCUGUUCGCCAUUUAAAGUGGUACGCGAGCUGGGUUUAGAACGUCGUGAGACAGUUCGGUCCCUAUCUGCCGUGGGCGCUGGAGAACUGAGGGGGGCUGCUCCUAGUACGAGAGGACCGGAGUGGACGCAUCACUGGUGUUCGGGUUGUCAUGCCAAUGGCACUGCCCGGUAGCUAAAUGCGGAAGAGAUAAGUGCUGAAAGCAUCUAAGCACGAAACUUGCCCCGAGAUGAGUUCUCCCUGANNNNNNNNNNNNNNNNNNNNNNNNNCCUUUAAGGGUCCUGAAGGAACGUUGAAGACGACGACGUUGAUAGGCCGGGUGUGUAAGCGCAGCGAUGCGUUGAGCUAACCGGUACUAAUGAACCGUGAGGCUUAACCUU
rnacentral:rRNA from 1 species